GAUGAAGAACGCAGCGAAAUGCGAUAAGUAAUGUGAAUUGCAGAAUUCAGUGAAUCAUCGAAUCUUUGAACGCACAUUGCGCCCGCUAGUAUUCUGGCGGGCAUGCCUGUCCGAGCGUCAUUACAACCCUCAAGCUCAGCUUGGUGUUGGGCCCCGCCGCCCCGGCGGGCCCUAAAGUCAGUGGCGGUGCCGUCCGGCUCCGAGCGUAGUAAUUCUUCUCGCUCUGGAGGUCCGGUCGUGUGCUCGCCAGCAACCCCCAAUUUUUUUCAGGUUGACCUCGGAUCAGGUAGGGAUACCCGCUGAACUUAAGCAUAUCAAUAAGCGGAGGA
rnacentral:misc_RNA from 1 species